AUUCUCCAGUUUAUUCCCUCCUGUUGAGAUUGGCCGAGUGUUGAAUUGAUGAUUCAGAUCGGUGACGUUAGUAUCCUUUGUGAUCAUUUUGUCAGCAUGAUCAUCAUAUAUACAUAUACAUUCAUAGAUCUCAUUAUUACAUUAUUGCACUUUGUGAUUCAUUAUUUCUUUGAUUUCUCUGCUUUGAUGGUAUCCUUUCCCCCCGCACAGAUUUGAUGUGUCUGUCCUCUUUCAAUUGUAGAGUGUCAUCCCCUUAAGCA
rnacentral:lncRNA from 1 species